ACUAGGAUUAGAUACCCUAUUAUUAAAAUUUAAAAUUAUAAUACUAAAAUAGUAAUUAAUUAUUUAUUGAAACUUAAAUAAUUUGGCGGUAUUUUAGUUCAUUUAGAGGAAUCUGUUUAAUAAUUGAUAUUCCACGAAUAAAUUUACUUAAUUUAUAAUUUUGUAUAUCGUUGUUAUAAAAAUAUUUUUUAAUAAAAUUAAUAUUUUAAAAUUAUUAUUUGAAUUUAAAUCAGAUCAAGAUGCAGAUUAUAAUUAAGAAUAUAAUGGAUUACAAUAAAAUUAUUUAAAUGAAUAUAAAUUUGUAAAAAUUAAUUGAAAGUGGAUUUAAAUGUAAUUUUAUUUAAUUUAAUAAAAUGAUUAUAAAUUAAAAUAUGUACACAUCGC
rnacentral:rRNA from 1 species